rnacentral:rRNA from 1 species
GGAUUAAGACCACAUGGUACUAUAUUACGGCAUCGUAUUUAUAGUUAAAGGUUACGGUAGGGGAUGAGUAUGCGUCCCAUUAGUUAGUUGGCGAGGUAACGGCUCACCAAGACCGCGAUGGGUAGGGGCCCUGAGAGGGGGAUCCCCCACACUGGUACUGAGACACGGACCAGACUCCUACGGGAGGCAGCAGUGAGGAAUAUUGGACAAUGGACGAGAGUCUGAUCCAGCCAUGCCGCGUGCAGGAAGAAUGCCCUAUGGGUAGUAAACUGCUUUUAUACGGGAAGAAAAAGGGGCACGUGUGCCCCACUGACGGUACCGUAAGAAUAAGGACCGGCUAACUCCGUGCCAGCAGCCGCGGUAAUACGGAGGGUCCGAGCGUUAUCCGGAAUUAUUGGGUUUAAAGGGUCCGUAGGCGGGCCGAUAAGUCAGUGGUGAAAGUUUGCAGCUCAACUGUAAAAUUGCCUUUGAUACUGUCGGUCUUGAGUUAUAGUGAAGUUGCCGGAAUAUGUAGUGUAGCGGUGAAAUGCAUAGAUAUUACAUAGAACACCGAUUGCGAAGGCAGGUGACUAACUAUAUACUGACGCUGAUGGACGAAAGCGUGGGGAGCGAACAGGAUUAGAUACCCUGGUAGUCCACGCCGUAAACGAUGGAUACUAGCUGUCCGGGUCCUUGAGACCUGGGCGGCCAAGCGAAAGUGAUAAGUAUCCCACCUGGGGAGUACGUUCGCAAGAAUGAAACUCAAAGGAAUUGACGGGGGCCCGCACAAGCGGUGGAGCAUGUGGUU